rnacentral:rRNA from 1 species
CAGUAGCCGCGGUAAUACGGAGGGUGCAAGCGUUAAUCGGAAUUACUGGGCGUAAAGCGUGCGUAGGUGGUUGUUUAAGUCCGUUGUGAAAGCUCUGGGCUCAACCUGGGAAUUGCAGUGGAUACUGGGUCACUAGAGUGUGGUAGAGGAUAGUGGAAUUUCCGGUGUAGCAGUGAAAUGCGUAGAGAUCGGAAGGAACAUCUGUGGCGAAGGCGACUAUCUGGGCCAACACUGACACUGAGGCACGAAAGCGUGGGGAGCAAACAGGAUUAGAUACCCCAGUAGUCCCUGUCUCUUAUAC